rnacentral:pre_miRNA from 1 species
ACAACUUCCGGACCGUCGAUAUGCCGUGCAAUUUCACCCGCUCGGUGGAAGAUCUUCCCUUUGUCAA